rnacentral:lncRNA from 1 species
CUGGAACUGCUAAGCAUCUUAUUGUAUAUUGUAUAUAGUGUUUUAAAUUGCGAUACUGUACUCUUCUUGUAUUUUAUAUUUCUGAUUGUGUUGUACCACUGCUACGAUGACCUAAUUUCCCCUCGGGGAUAAAUAAAGUUAUCCAUCCAUCCAUCCAUCCAUCCAUCCAUCCAUCUAUCCAUCUAUCCAUCUAUCUAUCAGGAGAUCCUGUUUUCAAACUGAGCUUUCCAAAGUCCAGGAAGGGAGAGUACAGAGCCAAACCGUUGAAGACAGACACAUUCCAUGCAGACUGCGGUGAUGCACUGUUGGACCUGAUCUCGAGAAGGUUUUCCAGGACCCUGCCCCAUAUGUGAACGAGGUGCUGAAACUCAUAAUCCCUGAAGACAUCUCGGACCACGCAGAAAGGCAGCACAACUCUCACUCUCCACCCCAGAGAGCCCCAGCACCAGCUUACAAAGCUUCUGUAGGCUAUAUUGGCUGAACACAAUUCAGUAUAAAGUCAGCACUGAAUGUUUACACCCAUGGCAACUAGAUUCUUUCUUUGUUAUUAUUUUCAUAUUGAUAUUGAAGUUAAUAUAUAAAGUCAAACUGUUUCACUUCAGAUAUUAAUUUUCUUAUUAUUUCAUUCAUGUCAACACAUGUUUACAAAUGUUUCUUACAAUAAAACAUCUUUCCUAACUGUUCUGUGUUUUCACUGUUUGAUAUGUAAUUUUCAUGUUAAUAAGUAAAAGAUAAACUAUAAGCAAUGUAAGAUAGAGGAAGCAGUUAUGUACUUUUCAUCAUAACACUUUUGCGAUAAAUGUAUAGUAUUUAUGUGAAUAAAAGCUUACUGCACUAUUCCCCUCAGACGUAAAGGUCCAUAGUCUGUCUGAUAAAUGUUCAGUGCAUUCUGCAGUGCAGAUACAUUCAGGCAGACAGGUUACAGGCCAGGACGGUCCACUAUGCAUGAUGGUGGCUCAGGAUGCUGCUGUAGUCUUCGUGUAACCUAGAAAUUAUGAAAGGUAAGUGAGUGACAAUAGAUUAGAGAAAAGAGAGACAGCAAAAUGACAAUCAUGUUUGCCCAGUGUUUACACUUAAUUGUGGUAUUUCCAUACAGCAGAUGUUCUCAGGUUAUGUAGGCAUUU